CUUAGGAAUGUUUGCAGAUGAUACUGUCUAAAGCAGCGGUUCCCAAACUUUUUUCCCCGCGGACCACCUUCUACAUCCAGACUCGGCUCGCGUCCUCCCACCAUCCAACACAUAAAAAAGUAACACAUUCUAUUGACGCAUUCCAGGCAUCGUG